AUAAUCAGUAGGUUAUUGAGUGAUUGUAAUAUUUUUAUAAUCAGUAGGUUAUUGAGUAAUUGUAAUAAUAUUGUUAUAAUCAGUAGGUUAUUGAGUGAUUGUAAUAAUAUAGUUAUAAUCAGUAGGUUAUUGAGUGAUUGUAAUAAUAUUGUUAUAAUCAGUAGAUUAUUGAGUGAUUGUAAUAAUAUUGUUAUAAUCAGUAGAUUAUUGAGUGAUUGUAAUAAUAUUGUUAUAAUCAGUAGAUUAUUGAGUGAUUGUAAUAAUAUUUUUAUAAUCUACUUUUGUCUGUAACAUUGUUAGGCUAGUGUUAUUUUUUUGUCUGUAACAUGAUUAGUUAGGCUAGUGUUAUUUUUUGUCUGUAACAUGAUUAGUUAGGCUAGUGUUAUUUUUUGUCUGUAACAUGAUUAGUUAGGCUAGUGUUAUUUUUUUGUUUGUAACAUUAUUAGUUAGGCUAGUGUUAUUUUUUUGUUUGUAACAUUAUUAGUUAGGCUAGUGUUAUUCUUGUCUGUAACAUUAUUAGUUAGGCUAGUGUUAUUUUUGUUUUUUCGUAAAAUUUUAUUGCUAGAAGGUGAGGAACAUCAACCAGUAGCAAAGAAGAAUCAACAAAUCUGUUUUCCAAAUGUUAGUUUGUUUCUCACAGUUGCUACAAUAUUUAUAUAUUUCUGCAUAUUGUUAAUACAAGUGUGAUCAUUAAUUAGAUGAAACCUCUGAACCUUGAUGGAAUUUUAUCAUGUUAGAUCACGUCAAAUUCAGACAAAAGUAUAAAAGUUGGGCAUCAAACCCAAUUUUUCCUAUUGAUUUUAUAUACCAAAUAUUUCUAUGAUUCCUGGAGAUCCAAAAUAACAAUUAAUGAAUUCUUUAGAACUGGGUGUAAUCUUUUAUUCCAGACGAUUUGAUGGAGGAACGCGAAAAGAGCCACCUUCUCCAGGAAGAAAUGGAAACUACUCUGAAAGACAUUGCCUCCAUGUGAUUGUAGUGCUUGCAGCAUGGUGAAAGAUGAGUUGGUCCACGAAAGGGAAAGAUACAAGACCAUCUCGACUGAAUUGGACCAGACUUUUGCAGAGCUUACUGGCUACUAAAGACCCUUCUCGCUUUACUGGCUUUUUGUCUAUAUAUAUUUUAUGAUCCAUGUCUGUCUGUGUUUUAUUUUGUGUAAUUUUUUUAUACAUCACUGUAUUAUAAUGGUUGAAAAGGAUCAUGUGAGUGACCACUGAGGAUCUUAUGUCUUAAUGUUACUGAUACAGUGUCUAACCAUGGGCUUAGUUUGAUUCUAGAUAAAAUCGGCCACAGUGACGUGGAGGUUUGGGAUUAGGUAACAGAUUGAAGUGUUAACAAUGACAAGAUAUUUUGUGUAAUAAAAUGCACAGUGCAGCUGUAGCUCUGGAGAAAUGUCUACAGGAUUGCUCUGUUUUUUGAAAAAUAAAAUGUUUUGUUUGCCUAGAA